CUUCCCCUGCCAGGAGGACAAAGGGGUUCCUCUGCAGACUUUGCCACAGGGACUUCUUCGUGUUUUUGAAAGUUGGGGGCCUCCACGGAUUUUUCAGUUCCACGCCAGCUCACAGCCAGUCUCCUCUGACUCCAUUAGCCAUGUAGGUGUUCCUGCCAGCCUCGGCCUCCAGUGGCAGCAUCUGCUCCCUGUUUGGUAGGACUCCCUGUAUCCCCUUGUCCUUGGUUUAGCUGUUGUUGUCUGUCUGUCUGUCUGUUCAUGUUUGCAUAGCACUUUGCCUUCUAUCCACUGGUUGAUCUAACAAGAUUUGUUGUUUUCCAACAACAAAUGUUUUUUGAAUGUUUUUCUUGUUGUGAGAAUGACAGUGAUGUCUCCAAGCUCACGCUGGAGUGGGGGGAGGCGGUCAUGCCAGACAGUUCCACUCCCUGACGUACUAAGGUAAACCUAUGGCAAAACUGUAAGUGUUACAUUGAUUAUACACAUAAGUGAAUUUUAAAUAACAGGUUUUUUUUUUUUAAUGUAAUAUCUAAACUUCAAGUUGUUUCUUCUCUUACACAUGCUGUGUUGGGUGAAGCGCAGUGGAGUUGGACCUCUCUUUCUCUGUCUUUAUGUGAUUCCUUCUAGAACUGCAGAGAUGGGACGCCGGCAGGGCCGUGUUCCAGGCUUCCCCGCAGCGAGGUGCUGUGUGGGAUUUAGACUCAGCCAAUAAGAUGCAUUUCUUCCACUGGGAGAAGAAAGUGAAACCACAUUUCUACAGAUUUUGUGUUUCUGCUAUGUCAAGGCACAGGACACAUGUUCUGCAGGGACAGACGGUGCCGGAUCCAGCCGGGACGCCAGAGGGUCAGAACGACGUGGCCCGGAUUGCCACGAAGCAGUGGGAUUGGAGCAGCUGCCUCCUGGCUGUGGAAAGUGUAGCCGUUCCUGCAGCGGUACGGUUCUUGGAAUCCCGAAUGUUCCACCUGUGGCGCUAAUACGCAACUGGACGGCAGACAGUCGCCCCGACCUAGCGGCGCUGGGAAGUCGUCAGCACCCGCCCUCCAGGUAGGAGCUGUGCUCUCCAGGAGUGAGUUCAGGACGUGACUGUUGGGCAAACGUCCCAUUCCGUCCCCUGCAGAGACGGUUGAGAACUUCCUCUCCUCUAACGUCUGUCUCUCCAGCUCUCCCACCUUCCGGUCAAGUGAGUACGUACAGCACGACACGUGUCCAGGGAGGCCCUCGCACUGAGAGCCAGCGUGUUCCCACGACGGCAUGUCUGUCAGGGAUCGGUACUGUCACUGCGUUUCCUGUCAUUUCCCUCCUGUGUGGCUUACGGAUGACGUCACAAAGUCCCCUUAAGCAGCAGCUACAAGAUGACUUCAGUGCAGACACACAGUUCCAGGCAUAAACCAGAGUCAUGGAAUCUGGCCAUUGGCCGCACCACAGAUGGUCUUACUGGCUCUGUUUUGUUGCUUUGGUACUUCCUGGUGCCUGGGGCUUCGUCACUCUCUUUCAGGGGCUUGGUUGUCAAUUUAUGUGCCGCGUCUUUAACGAAUACUGACCUAUUAGCCCUAAAAGCAUUGAAGGAACAUUUAGAAAUAAAAUAAAGACAUAAGGGGUUGACUACUUAAUCAAGUUUUAUACCUUCGCAAGCCAAUGAAGGAAAUUCUUCUGUGUGAUGUAGGGUUAAGAGAGUAAACGCUUCCGAUCCCUUUCCAAAGUGUGUUCAGAGAGUAGCUGCUUAUUCUAAUGAAUAACACAAUGUCCUCAGUUGUCACCAGUGGUCCUGAAAACACUAAGCAUCAGUGACCUUUAUAACAGGCCUGGGGAGUUUUGGAUAUGUGACAAGUGUUUUCCAAAACAGUGUGUCUAGGACGGGACUCCUUUGCUUGGCAUACAAUGUGUAGAAUAAAAGGACUUCAGCAUCUGUCCCUUAACUACAUUCCCAGUAGCCAUUCUUGACUUUAUUUUACUCCAACCUUAAUGAAAACCGGAUUGACUUAUAAGCGCUUUGCUCCCCUGUAUCAUCACACGGACGAUUCCUGCUCCUUGAGCUACUUUCCCCUGCUUGGCCGUAUGGAACAUUCCACAAGGCUCCAGUUCCAGCUCAGGUGUUACCCACGUGGGUCGGCUCCAGAACUUUUAUCUAUAUAGACGGCAGCUCUACGUUGGGAGCCUGGGGGCUGUUGAACACACGUCUGGGGAGGACACAAGGAGAGGGUUGGCAGACGACAGGCGGCCUGUAUCGUCUGGGAGCCGUCUCGGGUUCCACCAGGCAAGUCACGGUCUCCCGUGACCACAUGAUUCCUUAUUCUUGUACUUCUACAGUAAAAAAAAUUGUA